AGCGAACGCUGGCGGCAGGCUUAACACAUGCAAGUCGAGCGGGCAUCCUUGUGGUGUCAGCGGCAGACGGGUGAGUAACGCGUGGGAACGUGCCCUUCGGUUCGGAAUAACUCAGGGAAACUUGAGCUAAUACCGGAUACGCCCUUUUGGGGAAAGGUUUACUGCCGAAGGAUCGGCCCGCGUCUGAUUAGCUAGUUGGUGAGGUUAUGGCUCACCAAGGCGACGAUCAGUAGCUGGUCUGAGAGGAUGAUCAGCCACACUGGGACUGAGACACGGCCCAGACUCCUACGGGAGGCAGCAGUGGGGAAUAUUGGACAAUGGGGGCAACCCUGAUCCAGCCAUGCCGCGUGAGUGAUGACGGCCUUAGGGUUGAAAAGCUCUUUUCUCCGGGACGAUAAUGACGGUACCGGAGGAAUAAGCCCCGGCUAACUUCGUG
rnacentral:rRNA from 1 species